CGUAGGGGCAAGCGUUAUCCGGAUUUACUGGGUGUAAAGGGAGCGUAGACGGCAUGGCAAGCCAGAUGUGAAAGCCCGGGGCUCAACCCCGGGACUGCAUUUGGAACUGUCAGGCUAGAGUGUCGGAGAGGAAAGCGGAAUUCCUAGUGUAGCGGUGAAAUGCGUAGAUAUUAGGAGGAACACCAGUGGCGAAGGCGGCUUUCUGGACGAUGACUGACGUUGAGGCUCGAAAGCGUGGGGAGCAAACAGGAUU
rnacentral:rRNA from 1 species